rnacentral:rRNA from 1 species
CCUACGGGAGGCAGCAGUGAGGAAUAUUGGUCAAUGGCCGGAAGGCUGAACCAGCCAUGCCGCGUGAAGGUCAGUGCCCUAUGGGCGUUAAACUUCUUUUGUGCGGGAGCAAUAAUGGUCACGUGUGGCCAGACGAGAGUACCGUACGAAUAAGCAUCGGCUAACUUCGUGCCAGCAGCCGCGGUAAUACGGGGGAUGCAAGCGUUAUCCGGAUUUAUUGGGUUUAAAGGGUGCGUAGGCUGGGAGGUAAGUCAGCGGUGAAAUGCCCCCGCUCAACGGGGUGAAGUGCCAUUGAUACUGCCUGGCUGGAAUGCGGAUGCGGUGGGAGGAAUGUGUGGUGUAGCGGUGAAAUGCAUAGAUAUCACACAGAACACCGAUUGCGAAGGCAUCUCACGAAUCCGCGAUUGACGCUGAUGCACGAAAGCGUGGGUAUCAAACAGGAUUAGAUACCCUUGUAGUC